GACAGAGGUGCCAAGCGUUAGGCGGAAUCACUGGGCUUAAAGCGUGUGUAGGCGGACUUCUAAGUACCUUGUGAAAUCCCCCGGCUCAACCGGGGAACGGCUGGGUAUACUGGGAGUCUCGAGCCAGCUAGGGGUCGCCGGAACAAGUGGUGGAGCGGUGAAAUGCGUAGAUAUCACUUGGAACGCCAACGGUGAAAACAGGCGACUGGGGCUGUGCUGACGCUGAGACACGAAAGCCAGGGGAGCGAACGGG
rnacentral:rRNA from 1 species